rnacentral:ncRNA from 1 species
AUAAAAAGAACGAGACUGAGCAGGACAGUAGCCAUGUAAGUCAGGAUCACUAAGGAGUGUGUAAUAACUCAUCUGCUGAAUCAACUAGCCCUGAAAAUGGAUGCUGCUGGG